AAAAUAUUAAAGUAUAACCUCAUUUAUAAUAAAAGUUAUUGUAGAUUAACAGUAUUCGUCUAAGUGACAACACGAUGCAUUUGCGUGGAAUUCUUUUAAUUUUCCUAUUCUUGACAUUAGUCGAUACUGUUUUCUGUUUUAAGACAGGGGGAAAAUGUAAAUUUGUCCCUUGUGUCAUGUAUUGUCGGGGACAGAAUCAGAAAGGAAGAUGCGUAGAUGACAAAUGUAAAUGCUUGUGAGUGGUAAAAUGAUAGAGAAAAUAAAAGAAGAAAUAAUUGUUCAAUAAAAAAAUUAUAAUGAAUCAAAGAUUUAUGUUCGUGUUUUU